rnacentral:rRNA from 1 species
GUGCCAGCAGCCGCGGUAAUACGUAGGGGGCAAGCGUUAUCCGGAUUCAUUGGGCGUAAAGCGCUCGUAGGCGGUCCGUUAGGUCGGGAGUUAAAUCCGGGGGCUCAACCCCCGCCCGCUCCCGAUACCGGCGGACUUGAGUUUGGUAGGGGAAAGUGGAAUUCCCAGUGUAGCGGUGGAAUGCGCAGAUAUUGGGAAGAACACCGGUGGCGAAGGCGGCUUUCUGGGCCACAACUGACGCUGAGGAACGAAAGCUAGGGUCUCGAACCGGAUUAGAUACCCCUGUAGUCC